rnacentral:rRNA from 1 species
AUUGAACGCUGGCGGCAUGCUUUACACAUGCAAGUCGAACGGCAGCGCGGGGGCAACCCUGGCGGCGAGUGGCGAACGGGUGAGUAAUGCAUCGGAACGUAUCCUGUAAUGGGGGAUAACGUAGCGAAAGUUACGCUAAUACCGCAUACGCUCGAGAGAGGAAAGUGGGGAUCGCAAGACCUCACGUUAUAGGAGCGGCCGAUGCCCGAUUAGCUAGUUGGUGGGGUAAAGGCCUACCAAGGCGACGAUCGGUAGCUGGUCUGAGAGGAUGAUCAGCCACACUGGGACUGAGACACGGCCCAGACUCCUACGGGAGGCAGCAGUGGGGAAUUUUGGACAAUGGCGGAAAGACCUGAUCCAGCCAUGCCGCGUGCGGGAAGAAGG